rnacentral:rRNA from 1 species
CCUACGGGGAGCAGCAGUGGGGAAUAUUGGGCAAUGGGCGCAAGCCUGACCCAGCAACGCCGCGUGAAGGAAGAAGGCUUUCGGGUUGUAAACUUCUUUCCUCAGGGACGAAGAAAGUGACGGUACCUCAGGAAUAAGCCACGGCUAACUACGGGCCAGCAGCCGCGGUAAUACGUAGGUGGCAAGCGUUAUCCGGAAUUACUGGGGGUAAAGGGCGCGUAGGUGGGGGCUUAAGUCAGGUGUGAAAACUCCGGGCUCAACUUGGCGACUGCACUUGAAACUGGGUGUCUUGAGGGCAUGAGAGGAAAGUGGAAUUCCUAGUGUAGCGGUGAAAUGCGUAGAUAUUAGGAGGAACACCAGUGGCGAAGGCGACUUUCUGGACUGUACCUGACGCUGAGGCGCGAAAGCGUGGGUAGCGAACGGGAUUAGAUACCCGGGUAGUC